rnacentral:rRNA from 1 species
AUUGAACGCUGGCGGCAUGCUUUACACAUGCAAGUCGAACGGUAACAGGUCUUCGGAUGCUGACGAGUGGCGGACGGGUGAGUAAUACAUCGGAACGUGCCUAGUAGUGGGGGAUAACUACUCGCAAGAGUAGCUAAUACCGCAUGAGAUCUACGGUUGAAAGCAGGGGACCUUCGGGCCUUGUGCUACUAUAGCGGCUGAUGGCAGAUUAGGUAGUUGGUGGGGUAAAGGCUUACCAAGCCUGCGAUCUGUAGCUGGUCUGAGAGGACGACCCGCCACACUGGGACUGAGACACGGCCCAGACUCCUACGGGAGGCAGCAGUAGGGAAUUUUGGACAAUGGGCGAAAGCCUGAUCCAGCAAUGCCGCGUGAAGGAUGAAGGCCCUCGGGUUGUAAACUGCUUUUGUACGGAACGAAAAGCCGGGGGCGAAUAUCCCCGGGUCAUGACGGUACCGAAAGAAUAAGCACCGGCUAACUACGUG